AAUCAACGCUGGCGGCGUGCCUCAGACAUGCAAGUCGAACGCGAAAGGUUCCUUCGGGAACCGAGUAGAGUGGCGCACGGGUGAGUAACACGUAGGUAAUUUGCCUUUGGGUGGGGAAUAACAGCCGGAAACGGCUGCUAAUACCGCAUAAUGCAGCGGCUCGACAUCGAGACAGUUGUUAAAGCGGGGGAUCGCAAGACCUCGCGCCUAAAGAGAAGCCUGCGGCAGAUAGCUAGUUGGUAGGGUAAUGGCCUACCAAGGCGACGAUCUGUAACCGGCCUGAGAGGGCGGGUCGGUCACACUGACACUGACAUACGGGUCAGACUCCUACGGGAGGCAGCAGUCGGGAAUUUUGGGCAAUGGGCGAAAGCCUGACCCAGCAACGCCGCGUGAAGGAU
rnacentral:rRNA from 1 species